ACUAGAAGCCGAUGAAGGACGUUACUAACGACGAUAUGCUUUGGGUAGCUGUAAGUAAGCGUUGAUCCAGAGAUUUCCGAAUGGGGGACCCCAGCAUGUGUUAUGUCAUGUUAUCGACAUGUGAAUUUAUAGCAUGUCAGAAGGCAGACCCUGAGAACUGAAACAUCUAAGUACCCGGAGGAAGAGAAAGAAAAAUCGAUUCCCUGAGUAGCGGCGAGCGAAACUGGAAGAGCCCAAUCCAACAA
rnacentral:rRNA from 1 species